rnacentral:lncRNA from 1 species
UAUCGUUCUCUCUCUUCCUUUAGAGAGAGAGAAUUCUCUCUUCUUCCCCUCUUAUCACACUCAAAUCUUUCAGAGGGGGAAAGAGAGUUAUGUUAUUUCUUUUUGAUGUAAAAUAAUCCUUUUGAUCCAAAGAUCGACUUUUGAUUCCGGUUGCGGAUUUCAGUCUUCGCAAGGCGACUUUUUCUUCUGAUCUUUGUUAGAUCAGACUUUUCACUUCGCUUGGCGAGCUUUUGUUGUGUGUUCUGUUUAAAAAAGUUCAUCUCUCUGUUUUAAUCAAUUUUACUGAUUGCUUUCUAAGAGUUUCUUCCUUGUGUCGGUUAUCCUCUAUCUUCGUUCCCCAAGAUAUAAAUUUUUGUCUUAUUAUAAAUGAAUUGGCAAAGUCUUCGUAAAGGGUGAAGAUUAGAGCUUUGCAUGUUUGCUCUUACGGUUUAGUACAUCAUCAGAUAAGUCAAAGCUUGUUCUACAAGUGUUUUGACAAGAGCUGUGUCUGAAUCUUAUAGAGCUUCUUUGUAUUCUCCACAUCCGGCGAAGAGAGUGAACCUCGGAGAAAGCAUCAGCGACCUGAGAGAUGGAAAGUUACAAAAGGAACCAAGUCUCCGUUGCUGUGCUAUACCCAAGAGUUUGAUCUACCGGAAAUUCACAUUUACGGCAGUUUUCCGGUGAAGAAGCAACGAUGUUCGUCUGCGCAACACAUCAUCCUCUAGUUAAGCUUAACUGAAGACACGUGUAGAUCCAUGGUGUACCGUGUAAUUAUGUUUGUUCUUAAUCUUAUCUUGGAAAGUUGGGCUUCACUUGGGAUUAAAUUCUUAAUGGACUUAUUUGAUUCCUUUUUGUAACAUGUUAGGCUUUGAGCCUUAUAAAACGAAUUGACA